ACAAAAUUCGUGUACUUUUGUUUUACUUUUUAGGAAUGAAAGAGCAUGGAUUAAAGAGGAAGAAAAACAAGGCAGGAUUUUGAAUGAAAGAGCAUGGAUUAAAGAGGAAGAAAAACAAGGCAGGAUUUUG